rnacentral:rRNA from 1 species
UACGUAGGGGGCAAGCGUUGUCCGGAAUUAUUGGGCGUAAAGCGCGCGCAGGCGGCGAUUUAAGUCUGGUGUUUAAACCUUGGGCUCAACCUGGGGUCGCACUGGAAACUGGAUGGCUUGAGUACAGAAGAGGAAAGUGGAAUUCCACGUGUAGCGGUGAAAUGCGUAGAUAUGUGGAGGAACACCAGUGGCGAAGGCGACUUUCUGGGCUGUAACUGACGCUGAGGCGCGAAAGCGUGGGGAGCAAACAGG